GACAGAAUACCAACAGACUGAGCUUCAGAACCUAUCCAUAAAUGAAGUGGCCUGCGAUGUUCCGAACAGAGAGCUGGUGAUUGCUCACUUCAACAAAGAGAAUACGGAACAGAUACUUAUGGCAAAAAGGCACUAAAGUCACCGAGCACUGAAUAUCUACUCCACCUUUCUGUUCCUUAGUUAGCACAGAGUGGAUUUCAGAAGAUGUCUGUAUGCCAGCUGUAGUCUUGGAGAAUCACCAUGACUGCUUCAAGGGGACCUAGGACCGGAGGACCUGAGGACCUGAGGACCUGAGGAUCAGAGGACCUGAGGACCUGAGGACCUGAGGAUCAGAGGACCUGAGGACCUGAGGACCUGAGGAUCAGAGGACUUGAGGACCUGAGGACCUGAGGAUCAGAGGACCUGAGGACCUGAGGACCUGAGGGUUUGAAAAAAUGCUGCAGACUACAGUCUAAAGCUGUAGACAAACUGACUUCAGUUUCGAUAUACUUUUUUACAUGAAUGUAACAAAGAAAUCAAUGAUCCAAGGAAGGUUGUUUAGGUUCAGGAAAACACAUAAACAAACCAUAUACUAAAUAUUAACAGAGCAGCCCUUUUCCUGAUCUUCCUCAAGACGGACCAAUUUAAACAAAAUUACCUGGCACAUAUUAUAUUAUAUCUGAGAAAGCAUGAAAGCAAUGUAGAAGGCUAUAUUCAUCUUCAGGAUAUAUUGACCAGAUUGGGUUCAGUGUCAGAUAGUUAUAAUCUGACAUCUAACAAGAAUAAACAUGUCUUAUAAAUUAAAUGUAAAUGCUUGUCACAGGAUGCAUGAAAUCAUGUCCAACAACAUGAAAAUAAAUGUACGUGAGGAAAAA